rnacentral:lncRNA from 1 species
ACUCUACUCAGCAGGGAUUAGGCACACAACCACACAACCACACACACAAACACACACACACACUAACACAAGCCAAAUACCCUCUAUCCUAAGCCUCACUGAGAGGUUGUAGCGAUAGAAGCAGCGGGAGAGCGGGGACUGUUUUUUUUAUAAAAGUACCGUUUAUAAAGAAAAAGAGAGAGCGAGCAGUGGAACCUUGUUCUACAGAGGCGAUGUGAUCGAUCCUCGAGAUCGUGGCAAGUAAUGGUGCCAUCUCCCUGCAGAUGACGGGACGCUGUCGUGAAUGUCCUGAGGUAAAAGGAAGGAAAAGAAAUCCUGGGAAUACCUAGGAACCCAGGGACUGAGGAUGUUGUCAUCACUGUUCACUGUGCUGCGGACCUUCACUGAACUGUAAGAA